GAUGAACGUUGGCGGCGUGGAUUAGGCAUGCAAGUCGCGCGAGAAGUCAUUUAGCUUGCUAAAAGACGGACAGCGGCGGAAGGGAGAGUAACGCGUGGUUAUGUACCCUCGAGACCGGGAUAGUGUCGGGAAACUGGCAGUAAUACCGGAUAACAUCUUCGGAUCAAAUGGUGUGAUUCCGCUCGAGGAUCGGACCGCGUACUAUUAGCUAGUUGGAGGGGUAAUGGCCCACCAAGGCUUAGAUGGUUACCGGGUGUGAGAGCAUGGCCCGGCUCACUGGGACUGAGACACUGCCCAGACAUCUACGGAUGGCUGCAGUCGAGAAUCUUCGGCAAUGGACGAAAGUCUGACCGAGUGACGCCGCGUGCGGGAUGAAGGCCUUCGGGUUGUAAACCGCUGUCAGUUAGGAGGAAAUCCAUGAGGGUUCUCUCUCAUGGUUGACCGAUUUUCAGAGGAAGGACGGGCUAAGUUCGUGCCAGCAGCCGCAGUAAGAC
rnacentral:rRNA from 1 species